rnacentral:rRNA from 1 species
UACGGAGGGUGCAAGCGUUAUCCGGAUUUACUGGGUUUAAAGGGUGCGCAGGCGGAUAUGUAAGUCAGUGGUGAAAUCUCUGGGCUUAACCCGGAAAUUGCCAUUGAUACUAUAUAUCUUGAAUGUUGUGGAGGUAAGCGGAAUAUGUCAUGUAGCGGUGAAAUGCUUAGAUAUGACAUAGAACACCUAUUGCGAAGGCAGCUGGCUACACAAAUAUUGACACUGAUGCACGAAAGCGUGGGGAUCAAACAGG